CCCGACCCUCCGAAGGUAGGAGGCCAGGCCCUUCCUAGCAAAAUGACCGAUAUACGCAUGUGGUUGACUGUAAGGCAGUCAUUUAUAUAAAUAUAAUUUACCUGGGCGGUGUCUGCUCCAUGAGACUCAAUGAUGUUCAAAACAUAAUCCGACACUCGCAUUCUUACACCUUACGGACACUGGUGCGAACUUCACUCGAGACCUCUGAGACUUUAUAAAACUAAGAUGUCAAUCUCACUUCAAGCAACUUACAGCGUUGUAUGGAUAAUAUUGAUGAUAAUGACAAGCAAUACAAGCAGGCACGAGCAAGCCAUAUUGCUGAUCUGACCCUGGCAGAAACACCCCCUCGCCCUCCCACCUGGUUGAUUGUCCCGGCAAGAAAAAAUACCGGUAGCGGCUCAACCUCCAUUGGAUCAUUAGUUUUAACGUAUACUGGACUGCUUUAUGAGUGGAUUCGUCUGAUUGUUUGGUUUCACCAACGUAAUCGUGCUUCUCAUCGCAUCUUGAGCUGCUUAACUUUUAUUUUUAGGACAGUCCCAUUCACAGCGGCGUUUAUAAUAUUCGGAUUGUUGCGACCAACUUUGUUCAUGAUGAAGCGAGUUCGGCGAAAUUAACAUCAUUAAUAACUCUGGAGUAGAAUCGUGAGGAAGCACGGUGAGUUAUCCACAAUUUUACUGGUCUUUCUUUCAAUGGCGCUAAUUAAUGGAGUAAAUUUAGGGGAUGCAGAAUUGACUCGCAAGUGACCAUAUGCAUGAUUAUUUCGCCUACAAUUAUAAGGUACGGAACUUAAGGCGCGUCCUAGGACGCUGUCGCCGGCGUCCGGACGCCUGCGGACGGACGCCGAUAAAAUCUGUCCAAUGAUUUUGGGUGGGGACGGCACCUUAGCGGCGAAGAGACGCUGCGGAAAACGCCGAUGGAGGACGCUCCGAUCUGUCGCCAACAGAUCGGAGCGGAGACGCCGACAAAUUCCGCUCAGUCCGCUGCCUUUCCUACCGCUUUUCGAAUGUGUUUAGUUCGACAAACCCGCGAAUUGAUCACAAAAGCCGUAAAUUGAUCAAGAAAAGCUGUGAAUCGAUCGACAAUCCCGUGAAUCGAUGGAAAAGAGCCGUAAAUCGAUGCGAUCGACCCACCCGUGAAUCGAUCGACAAAAGUCGUGAAUCGAUCGACCAAGCUGUGAAUCGAUCGACAGACCUGUGAGUUGAUCGACAAACCCGUGAAUCGAUCGACCAAGCUGUGAGUCAAUCGAAUUACGUCGAUCGGUUCACGUUUUGGUUUUUCGGUUGAUUCAUGUCGAUGGAAUUGAUACAGUUUUUUUUUUAAAAAAAUUAAUUGUCAAUCAUACCUCGUCGAUCGAUUCACGUUUUUUCCGAUCGAUUCAUGUCGAUCGGAUCGACACCGAUAUUUUAAGAAUUUGUCCAUCGCAUCGGUGCCGAUCGAAUCACGUUUUUAUUUUUCGGUCGAUUCUUGUCGAUCGAAUUACGUUUUUAUCUUUCGGUCGAUUCUUGUCGAUCGAAUCCACACCCUCCUAAAAAAAAAGCGCGUCCAGCCAUUUUUGCGGCUCAAAGCAUACUGUCCGAUCAACGAAAAUUCGAGAAAUUGACAGCGGACAGAGCGGAAAAAAUCCACGAAUUCCGCUCCUUAGGUGCCGUGCUCCAAAAUGUGAGCGUCUUCUCGCCCUCGACUCGGUAGCAGCAUUUCUCGCCGGCGUCCAGGACGCCGGCGACAGCGUCCUAGGACGCGCCUUAAGUUCCGUACCUAUAGAGAUAGACCAAAACUGCCAUGCCAGGGAAGAACAACGUAAGAGCCUUUGAGCGUUACCUAAUUAUCUAUAAUAGAAGACGAAUU
rnacentral:lncRNA from 1 species